rnacentral:rRNA from 1 species
GUGCCAGCCGCCGCGGMUAAUACGUAGGUGGCAAGCGUUAUCCGGAAUUAUUGGGCGUAAAGCGCGCGUAGGCGGUUUUUUAAGUCUGAUGUGAAAGCCCACGGCUCAACCGUGGAGGGUCAUUGGAAACUGAAAAACUUGAGUGCAGAAGAGGAAAGUGGAAUUCCAUGUGUAGCGGUGAAAUGCGCAGAGAUAUGGAGGAACACCAGUGGCGAAGGCGACUUUCUGGUCUGUAACUGACGCUGAUGUGCGAAAGCGUGGGGAUCAAAACAGGAUUAGAUACCCUGGUAGUCCACGCCGUAAACGAUGAGUGCUAAGUGUUAGGGGGUUCCGCCCCUUAGUGCUGCAGCUAACGCAUUAAGCACUCCGCCUGGGGGGUACGGCCGCAAGGCUUAAACUCAAAGGAAUUGACGGGGACCCGCACAAGCGGUGGAGCAUGUGGUUUAAUUCGAAGCAACGCGAAGAACCUUACCAAAUCUUGACAUCCUUUGACCGCUCUAGAGAUAGAGUCUUCCCCUUCGGGGGACAAAGUGACAGGUGGUGCAUGGUUGUCGUCAGCUCGUGUCGUGAGAUGUUGGGUUAAGUCCCGCAACGAGCGCAACCCUUAAGCUUAGUUGCCAUCAUUCAGUUGGGCACUCUAAGUUGACUGCCGGUGACAAACCGGAGGAAGGUGGGGAUGACGUCAAAUCAUCAUGCCCCUUAUGAUUUGGGCGUACAMACGUGCUACAAUGGACAAUACAAAGGGCAGCGAAACCGCGAGGUCAAGCAAAUCCCAUAAAGUUGUUCUCAGUUCGGAUUGUAGUCUGCAACUCGACUACAUGAAGCUGGAACCGCUAGUAACCGUAGAUCAGCAUGCUACGGUGAAUACGUUCCCGGGUCUUGCACACACCCCCGU